CAUAAAUCCAAUUUGCAAAUUCUGUUAAAUUUACUUUCUUAUUAUUUUUUAUCAAUUCUGUUUUGUGUGAACCCCAGUUCAAUUGAAAAUAAGAUGGCAUUUUGAUAAUUAAUUCCUGCAAUAGGGAAGAGUUAUUAAGUUCAUCUAAUAAACCACAAGCUUUAAUUGUAGUUUCCAAACCCUUUACUUCAACGGCGAAAGAUUGAACUUAAUAUUUUUUCUGGUUGGCCGUAAAGCAGUUUUAAAGUGGACAUAGCAGCUGGUACACAAGUGGGGUGGAUUAAAAUGUGCUGGACUGAUCGCAUAGCUUCUCCACGUAAUGCUCUUUGUAGGCGGACCAAGUUUUCUGCAUCAGUUAAGCCACAAAUAUUGGUGGACCAGUCGUAUGUUGAACUAAAAAGUGGCCAUUCUUCAGGCAUACCUGUAAACGUCGGUAGAUCUUUUGGCACAGUUUGUCGUGCGUUUAUUUGUUGGUGCGUGAGGUUAUUUUGAACAUUGCAUACAUUUGGUCUUAAUGUAGACGAGGGAUGCAUAUAAAACGUAGGUUCAUUAUAACGAAAAUCAAGCGGCGGAGCUGGUUGUGUUUGUGGAUUUGUUGUAGUGUACCGUGAUGUGUCCAUGCUUGGUCGAAAGGUAUACGAUGGCAGCAUGGGAAACACUGGGCCAGUAUAUGGAAUAUUUGGCGGUUGUGGUACUUGAGUUUGUGUGUUAAUUUCUGCAUUUGCAUUAUUGUUUAUAAUGUCACUUUCGACUUGUUUUGUUGAAUAUAAAUUAUUUUGUGAUGGAUUAUUAAUAAACGUUGAUAUAAUUGAU